rnacentral:lncRNA from 1 species
AGAUGGCCAAUGUCUUCUCUUAGGCUUCAAUCUUGUAAUCUUUUUUCUAUUUUAUCUAUCACAUAACAAUAAAAUUUAAUUAAUAAAGGAACUUUUUACCUCAGGAGUUUUCUUCUGAUUCUUGGUCAUGUGCUUGUUCGCUGUGCAAUCUAAUCAUCAUGGUUGUAUGAUCACUACCAAACCCCUUCCAUAGGUCAUGGCUUUGCCUAUUAGAGCC